UACGGAGGGGGCAAGCGUUGUUCGGAAUUACUGGGCGUAAAGGGCGCGCAGGCGGCUGCUCAAGUCAGGCGUGAAAGGCCUGGGCUCAACCCGGGAAUUGCGCUUGAGACUGGGCUGGCUUGAGUGCGGGAGAGGAUGGUGGAAUUCCCAGUGUAGAGGUGAAAUUCGUAGAUAUUGGGAAGAACACCGGUGGCGAAGGCGGCCAUCUGGACCGCAACUGACGCUGAGGCGCGAAAGCG
rnacentral:rRNA from 1 species